rnacentral:rRNA from 1 species
AACGAACGCUGGCGGCAGGCUUAACACAUGCAAGUCGAACGAUGUAGCAAUACAUAGUGGCGCACGGGUGAGUAACGCGUGGGAAUGUACCUUAUAGUGGGGAAUAACGUUGGGAAACUAACGCUAAUACCGCAUACGCCCUUCGUGGGAAAGAUUUAUCGCUAUAAGAUCAGCCCGCGUGAGAUUAGGUAGUUGGUGGGGUAAUGGCCUACCAAGCCUACGAUCUCUAGCUGGUCUGAGAGGAUGAUCAGCCACACUGGAACUGAGACACGGUCCAGACUCCUACGGGAGGCAGCAGUGGGGAAUAUUGGGCAAUGGAGGCAACUCUGACCCAGCCAUGCCGCGUGAAUGAUGAAGGCCUUAGGGUUGUAAAGUUCUUUCGCCGAUGAAGAUAAUGACGGUAGUCGGAGAAGAAGCCCCGGCUAACUUCGUGCCAGCCGCCGCUGUAA